GUUUAACAUAUAAUCAAGCUGAGAGGCCAGAUGUUUUGACUAUCGCCCAAGACCCUUACUUGACAUACACAAAGAAAUGAUACGAAGAUGUUAAUCACCACAACUUAGGCAGAGAGGUUCGUGUCUGUCUCUCGUCUAUGUAAGUGGUUGCUCUCCUAAUGUAGAGACGAGGAGUGGUGCUCGGGGAAUUUUGUACAGUUGUAAAGCGCAUGUAAUUUUGUCCCUGUACCUUCAUCUGGUCCAUUCCCAUGUUUUCCAUAUUUUGGUUUUCUCAUCUUGGAAGGUCUAUUAUGCCAUGCUUAUUUCAUGUUUUGGAAUUCGAUGGGUGCAUCGAUGAAAUUGCA
rnacentral:misc_RNA from 1 species